UAGAGUUCCCUUCAGGAUCAGAUUGAACGCUGGCGGCAGGCCUAACACAUGCAAGUCGAACGGUAGCACAGAGGAGCUUGCUCCUUGGGUGACGAGUGGCGGACGGGUGAGUAAUGUCUGGGAAACUGCCCGAUGGAGGGGGAUAACUACUGGAAACGGUAGCUAAUACCGCAUAACGUCGCAAGACCAAAGAGGGGGACCUUCGGGCCUCUUGCCAUCGGAUGUGCCCAGAUGGGAUUAGCUAGUAGGUGGGGUAACGGCUCACCUAGGCGACGAUCCCUAGCUGGUCUGAGAGGAUGACCAGCCACACUGGAACUGAGACACGGUCCAGACUCCUACGGGAGGCAGCAGUGGGGAUUAUUGUUCACUGCCCGCCAGCCUGAUGCAGCCAUGCCGCGUGUAUGAAGAAGGCCUUCGGGUUGUAAAGUACUUUUCAGCGAGGAGGAAGGCGUUGAGGUUAAUACCGCCAGCAAUUGACGCUCCUCGCAGAAGAAGCACCGGCUAACUCCGUGCCAGCAGCCCGCGGUAAUACGGAGGGUGCAAGCGUUAAUCGGAAUUACUGGGCGUAAAGCGCCCCCCCCCCCUCUGUCAAGUCGGAUGUGAAAUCCCCGGGCUCAACCUGGGAACUGCAUCCGAAACUGGCAGGCUAGAGUCUUGUGGAGGGGGGUAGAAUUCCAGGUGUAGCGGUGAAAUGCGUAGAGAUCUAGAGGAAUACCGGUGGCGAAGGCGGCCCCCUGGACAAAGACUGACGCUCAGGUGCGAAAGCGUGGGGAGCAAAC
rnacentral:rRNA from 1 species